UAUUUUGUUUGCUACUGUGAGACCCCGAUUUAAAGCGUUUCUCCCUGAAAGAAUUACAGGGAUGGAAAUGGAGAGGACCCUGAAGAAAAGAAGGGAAGGCUGAAAGAAGCUGAGGAGAAGGGCGAUCCUGUAGGAGGAUCAGGUGUCUCAAUUAAUCUGCAUCCCAGAGAUCUCUCAAACACUGGACCACCAACCAGGCAGCCUACACCAGCUGAUACGCGGCCCCUAACACACAUACAGCAGAGGACUUCCAGGGCUGUUUCCGAGUGUUUCUGUGGCCCCGCUCCACACUGGAUCUGUACCUAAGACACAUCUGCCUGGGAAAAUCUCAUCCACGUAACCUCAUCUACAAGCUCGCUCAGCGCAGACCAUGGAGCAGACCCUGUGCACAUUUAAUCCUCACUCUUUGCUCCCAAGGGUGGCAUGGGUUAGCAAUAGAAAAUUCUCAAAACAUUAAGAGUAAUUGCUAUCCACAUGUCUAUUAGCCUCUGUAAGUCCUUCCAACACAACACUUGCCACUUUAAAACUUAAUCCCUUCUACCCGUGUUUCUACUCACUGUUUGCACCCAGAAGA
rnacentral:lncRNA from 1 species